rnacentral:misc_RNA from 1 species
GUGAAUCAUCAAAUCUUUGAACGCAAAUUGCACUCUCCUCGGAGAGUAUGCCUGUUUGAGGGUCAGCCUAUAAAAAUCGACAUCGUUGCUCUUUCGCGGUGGCGUUCGCCGGAAAUUGGGGCAUCUUUUAUCCUUUUGAUUUAAGCGACGUAAAAUUUUCUUUUGGUUCUAUGACCGUUUCUAAUAUCU